rnacentral:sRNA from 12 species
UGGGCUGGUCGUUAGACCCGGGUCCACACCAAGGCGGGUAAGACACCC